rnacentral:tRNA from 1 species
AGAAGUUUAGGUUAACUCAAACCAGUGGCCUUCAAAGCCACAAAUAGGGGCUAAUCCCCCUCACUUCUG